AGGACGAACGCUGGCGGCGCGCUUAACACAUGCAAGUCGAGCGAGAACCCACCUUCGGGUGGGGGAAAGCGGCGAACGGGUGAGUAACACGUGGGCAACCCACCCUUGGUAUCGGGAUAGCCCGGGGAAACCCGGAUUAAUACCGGAUGGCCCAGCAGCUCUUCGGGGCGGCUGGAAAAGGUAGCUUCGGCCUCCGACCAAGGACGGGCCCGCGGCGGAUUAGCUUGUUGGUGGGGUAAUGGCCUACCAAGGCGACGAUCCGUAGCUGGUCUGAGAGGACGAUCAGCCACACUGGGACUGAGACACGGCCCAGACUCCUACGGGAGGCAGCAGUGGGGAAUCUUGCGCAAUGGGCGAAAGCCUGACGCAGCGACGCCGCGUGGGGAAGAGGCUUUCGGGUUGUAAACCCCUUUCAGGUGGGACGAAGCCACUCGGGUUAAUAGCCCAGAGGGUGACGGUACCGCCAGAAGAAGCCCCGGCUAACUACGUGCCAGCAGCCGC
rnacentral:rRNA from 1 species